CACCUGGUUGAUCCUGCCAGGUGGUGUAAGCUGUCUUCAGGGAGCUACCCCAUGCAUUUGUAAGUAUGAGUGAUAUUAUACAACGAAACUGCGAAUGGCUCGGUAAAACAGCUAUAGUUUCUUCGAUGAUAUACUACUCGGAAUAACCGUAGUAAUUCUAGAAGCUAAUACGUGCCACUAAGCGACGCAAGUCGUGGUAUAAAUUGGAGAUACAGACCAUCAUUUGGUGAUUCACAAUUUCUUUUCUGAUUGCACUAUGUGCGACGCAUCGUUCAAAGUUUCUGACCUAUCCAACUUUGGAUGGUAAGGUAUUGUCUUACCAUGGUUUUGACGGGUAACGGACCGUGGGUGCGGGAUUCCCGGAGAGGGAGCCUGCAGAACACGGCUACCACAUCCAAGGCAAGGCAGCAGGCGCGCAAAUUACCCAAUCCGGACACCGGGAGGUAGUGACAAGAAAUAUCAAUAGAGGGCCCAAAAUGGGUUAACUAAAAUGGAAUGAGAACAAGGUAAACAGCUUCAUCGAGGAGCCAGCAGACGGGCAAGUCUAGGCUUGCCACCAGCCGCGGUAAUUCCAGCUCUGUAAGCGUAUACCAAAGUUGUUGCAGUUAAAACGCUCGUAGUCGGAACUUGGUGGAUGACUUGCUUCGUCCUCACGGAUGGUAGCAGGUCAGCCGCCUUUGUGGAGGGUGGUCUACUGGUUCUUUACUGAAUCGAUAGAUCGCUGCCACCAUUUACUGUGAAAAAAUUAGAGUGUUCAAAGCAGGCGUUUGCCGUGAAUACAUUAGCAUGGAAUAAUAGCAAUAGGACCUGGUUUCUAUUUUGUUGGUUUGUUAGAAUCGGGUAAUGAUUAAGAGGGAUGGUUGGGGGCAUUUGUAUUCCAGCGUCAGAGGUGAAAUUCUUGGAUUGUUGGAAGACAAACAGCUGCGAAAGCGUCUGCCAAGGACAUUUUCAUUGAUCAAGAACGAAAGUAAGGGGAUCGAAGACGAUCAGAUACCGUCGUAGUCUUUACUAUAAACUAUGAGGACUGGAGAUCGGGUGGGAAUAUAUUUAUGGCCCGCCCGGCAUCCUUCGGGAAACCAAAGUGUUUGCUUUCUGGGGGGAGUAUGGUCGCAAGGCUGAAACUUAAAGGAAUUGACGGGAGGGCAUCACCGGGUGUGGAGCCUGCGGCUUAAUUUGACUCAACACGGGGAAACUUACCAGGUCAGGACAUAGUGAGGAUUGACAGAUUGAGAGCUCUUUCUUGAUUCUAUGGUUGGUGGUGCAUGGCCGUUCUUAGUUGGUGGAGUGAUCUGUCUGGUUAAUUCCGUUAACGAGCGAGACCUGGGCGUGUUAGCUAGGCGCUACUACCCUUUUUGGUAGUGAGGCUGGCCUUCCUAAACGGACUGCGGACGUCUAGUCCGCGGAAGCUCCAGGCAAUAACAGGUCUGAGAUGCCCUUAGAUGUUCUGGGCCGCACGCGUGCCUACAACUGAAGCGGGUCAACCGGGUGAGGAUGUGCGAAAGGUACUUCCUAAUCUCUAAAUCCGCUCGUGAUGGGGAUAGAGGCUUGCAAUUUUCCCUCUUGAACGAGGAAUACCUUGUAAGCACGGGUCAUCAUCCCGUGCUGAAUACGUCCCUGCCCUUUGUACACACCGCCCGUCGCUCCUACCGAUUGAGUGGUCCGGUGAGGCCUUGGGAGGGUUAGGUGGAUUGUGUUUCACAGACCGCCGUGCCCAAAACUUG
rnacentral:rRNA from 1 species